UACGGGGGGGCAAGCGUUGUUCGGAAUUACUGGGCGUAAAGGGCGCGUAGGCGGCCACUGCAAGUCAGUUGUGAAAUCUCCGGGCUUAACCCGGAAAGGUCAACUGAUACUGCAGGGCUAGAGUGCAGAAGGGGCAACUGGAAUUCUCGGUGUAGCGGUGAAAUGCGUAGAUAUCGAGAGGAACACCUGCGGCGAAGGCGGGUUGCUGGGCUGACACUGACGCUGAUGUGCGAAAGCCAGGGGAGCGAACGGG
rnacentral:rRNA from 1 species